rnacentral:rRNA from 1 species
CCUACGGGAGGCAGCAGUGGGGAAUAUUGGACAAUGGGGGGAACCCUGAUCCAGCCAUGCCGCGUGUGUGAAGAAGGCCCUCGGGUUGUAAAGCACUUUCAGUGAGGAAGAACGCCUGGUGGUUAAUACCCAUCAGGAAAGACAUCACUCACAGAAGAAGCACCGGCUAACUCCGUGCCAGCAGCCGCGGUAAUACGGAGGGUGCGAGCGUUAAUCGGAAUUACUGGGCGUAAAGCGCGCGUAGGUGGCUUGAUAAGCCGGUUGUGAAAGCCCCGGGCUCAACCUGGGAACGGCAUCCGGAACUGUCAAGCUAGAGUGCAGGAGAGGAAGGUAGAAUUCCCGGUGUAGCGGUGAAAUGCGUAGAGAUCGGGAGGAAUACCAGUGGCGAAGGCGGCCUUCUGGACUGACACUGACACUGGGGUGCGAAAGCGUGGGUAGCAAACAGGAUUAGAUACCCUUGUAGUC